CGGGGCGUGGCGCAGCUGGUAGCGCGCUUGGUUCGGGACCAAGAGGUCGCUGGUUCGAGUCCAGUCACCCCGACCA
rnacentral:tRNA from 1 species